UACGGCAAUAUUACGUGGAAACACCGGUUCCCGUACGACUACCGAAGUUAAGCAACGUCAAGCCUACUCAGUACCUAGAGGGGUGACAGCUUCGGAAUACUUGGAUG